UGACCUCAAAUCAGGUAGGACUACCCGCUGAACUUAAGCAUAUCAAUAAGCGGAGGAAAAGAAACUAACAAGGAUUCCCCUAGUAACUGCGAGUGAAGCGGGAAAAGCUCAAAUUUAAAAUCUGGCGGUCUUUGGCCGUCCGAGUUGUAGUCUGGAGAAGUGCUUUCCGCGCU
rnacentral:rRNA from 1 species